UCAUUUCAUCAGACCAGAGAAUUUUGUUUCUCCUGGUCUGUGAGUCCUUCAGGUGCCUUCUAGCAAAGUCCAAGCGGGCUGUCAUGUGCUUUUUACUGAGGAGUGGCUUCUGUCUGGCCACUCUACCAUAAAUGCCUGACUGGUGGAGUGCUGCAGAGAUGGUGGUCCUUCUGUAGGGUUCUCCCAUCUCCUCAGAGGAUUGCUGGAGCUCUGUCAGAGAGACCAUUGGGUUCUUGGUCACCUCCCUGACCAAGGCCCUUCUCCCCCGCUAGCUCAUUUUGGCUGGGUGGCCAGCUCUAGGAAGAGUCCUAGUGGUUCCAAACGUCUUCCAUUUCUUAAUGAUGGAGACCACUGUGCUUUUUGGGAUCUUCAAUGCAGCAGAUAUUUUUCUGUAACCUUCCCCAGAUCUGUGCGCCGAUACAACCCUGUUUCGGAGGUCUACAGACAAUUCUUUCGACUUCAUGGCUUGGUUUGUGCUCUGACGUGCUCUGUCAGCUGUGGGAUCUUAUAUAGACAGGUGUGGCUUUCCAAAUCAUGUCCAAUCAGC